GUAGUGAAGUAGCAGAACACUUUUCUUCUUUCUCUCUAUAGUUUAUCUCUCUAGAGUUUCAGUGAAUUCGUAAGAAAUAAUGAAAGAAUGAGCUUCUAUUUAUAGAAAAAUGGACUGCAUAGUAACUAACUCAUGAACGGUCCAGAUUGAUUUACUUUAAUCUGACGGUCCAUAUUUAAAGCAAAAUCUUUUAAAUAAAAU
rnacentral:lncRNA from 1 species